rnacentral:tRNA from 1 species
GGAGGGUUAGUCUAAUUGGCAAGGCAGUGGACUUGAAAUCCACCGGGUUUACAGCCCUUCGGGGUUCGACUCCCCGACCCUCCGCCA